GGCACAGUGGUGCAGUGAGUGGCACUUCUGUCUCUUAACAAGAAAGUUGUGGGUUUGAAUCCAACGUGGGGCU